UCCGUAGGGGGCAAGCGUUGUCCGGAUUUAUUGGGCGUAAAGGGCGCGCAGGCGGCGCUUCAAGUCCGUUGUGAAAUUUCAGGGCUUAACCCUGACGGGUCAACGGAAACUGAAGGGCUAGAGUGCAGCAGAGGAAAGCGGAAUUCCCGGUGUAGUGGUGAAAUGCGUAGAUAUCGGGAGGAACACCAGUGGCGAAGGCGACUAUCUGGGCUUUAACUGACGCUGAGGCGCGAAGGCCGGGGGAGCAAACAGG
rnacentral:rRNA from 1 species